rnacentral:lncRNA from 1 species
ACUAGUCACCAAUCGGCCUCUUCCUUGGCUAUGUCGGUAGCCGGUGCAACACCGAUCUCACGGCCUUUAACAGUAGCUGACUUUAGUGUGGCUUCCUCCAUAACUGGAAUAGACUCUGGUGCAGCUGGUGCAGUCGAUGCAGCUUGUUCAGUCGACACUACUCCUUCAACAACUUCUUCUUCUUUCGAACCAGGGGCAGUGAUAUUGCUCAACUCCA